rnacentral:rRNA from 1 species
GGACCCGCACAAGCAGUGGAGCAUGUGGUUUAAUUCGAAGAUACGCGCAGAACCUUACCAACACUUGACAUGUUCGUCGCGAGCCUAAGAGAUUAGGCUUUUCAGUUUGGCUGGACGAAACACAGGUGCUGCAUGGCUGUCGUCAGCUCGUGUCGUGAGAUGUUGGGUUAAGUCCCGCAACGAGCGCAACCCCCUACUUUUAGUUGCCACCAUUUAGUUGGGCACUUUAAAAGAACUGCCAGUGAUAAGCUGGAGGAAGGUGGGGAUGACGUCAAGUCCUCAUGGCCCUUAUGUGUUGGGCUACACACGUGCUACAAUGGCACUUACAAUGGGAAGCAAAGAGGUGACUCCUAGCUAAUCCCAAAAAUGUGUCUCAGUUCGGAUUGUACUCUGUAACUCGAGUACAUGAAGCUGGAAUUGCUAGUAAUCGC